rnacentral:rRNA from 1 species
UACGGGGGGGGCAAGCGUUGUUCGGAAUUACUGGGCGUAAAGGGCUCGUAGGUGGCCAACUAAGUCAGACGUGAAAUCCCUCGGCUUAACCGGGGAACUGCGUCUGAUACUGGAUGGCUUGAAUCCGGGAGAGGGAUGCAGAAUUCCAGGUGUAGCGGUGAAAUGCGUAGAUAUCUGGAGGAAUACCGGUGGCGAAGGCGGCAUCCUGGACCGGCAUUGACGCUGAGGAGCGAAAGCCAGGGGAGCAAACGGG